UAAUGAUAUAGAAAGCAGUCACCUUUUACAACAAACAAUUGCAGCUCUCCAGGCUAACAAAUUUGUGCAGCCUCUACUUGGAAGGAAAAAUGAAAUGGAAAAACAAAGGAAAGAAAUAAAAGAGCUUUGGAAACAGGAGCAAAAUAAAAUGCUUGAAGCAGAGAAUGCUCUCAAAAAGGCAAAAUUAUUAUGCAUGCAACGUCAAGAUGAAUAUGAGAAAGCAAAGUCUUCCAUGUUUCGUGCAGAAGAGGAGCAUCUGUCUUCAAGUGGCGGAUUAGCAAAAAAUCUCAACAAGCAACUAGAAAAAAAGCGAAGGUUGGAAGAGGAGGCUCUCCAAAAAAAGAAGCAAAUGAACUUUACAAAGUUUGUGUGACAAAUGUUGAAGAAAGAAGAAAUGAUCUAGAAAAUACCAAAAGAGAAAUUUUAGCACAACUCCGGACACUUGUUUUCCAGUGUGAUCUUACCCUUAAAGCUGUAACAGUUAACCUCUUCCACAUGCAGCAUCUGCAGGCUGCUUCCCUUGCAGACAGUUUACAGUCUCUCUGUGAUAGUGCCAAACUCUAUGACCCAGGCCAAGAGUACAGUGAAUUUGUCAAGGCCACAAAUUCAACUGAAGAAGAAAAAAAAUGUAAAUAAACAUUUAAAUAGUUCCCAACCUUCAGGAUUUGGACCUGCCAACUCUUUAGAGGAUGUUGUACGCCUUCCUGACAGUUCUAAUAAAAUUGAAGAGGACAGAUGCUCUAACAGUGCAGAUAUAACAGGUCCUUCCUUUAUAAGAUCAUGGACAUUUGGGAUGUUUAGUGAUUCUGAGAGCACUGGAGGGAGCAGCGAAUCUAGAUCUCUGGAUUCAGAAUCUAUAAGUCCAGGAGACUUUCAUCGAAAACUUCCACGAACACCAUCCAGUGGAACUAUGUCCUCUGCAGAUGAUCUAGAUGAAAGAGAGCCACCUUCCCCUUCAGAAACUGGACCCAAUUCCCUUGGAACAUUUAAGAAAACAUUGAUGUCAAAGGCAGCUCUCACACACAAGUUUCGCAAAUUGAGAUCCCCCACGAAAUGUAGGGAUUGUGAAGGCAUUGUAGUGUUCCAAGGUGUUGAAUGUGAAGAGUGUCUCCUUGUUUGUCAUCGAAAGUGUUUGGAAAAUUUAGUCAUUAUUUGUGGUCAUCAGAAACUUCCAGGAAAAAUACACUUAUUUGGAGCAGAAUUCACACAAGUUGCAAAAAAGGAACCAGAUGGUAUCCCUUUUAUACUCAAAAUAUGUGCCUCAGAGAUUGAAAAUAGAGCUU
rnacentral:lncRNA from 1 species